rfam:Triticum urartu cultivar G1812 contig391933, whole genome shotgun sequence.
AAAGUACUUCCUCCGUCCGGAAAUACUUGUCGGAGAAAUGGAUGUAUCUAGACAUAUUUUAGUCGGAAAUACUUGUCGGAGAAAUGGAUGUAUCUAGACAUAUUUUAGUCUUAGGUACAGCGACUUUUAUCCAUUUGUGCGACAAGUAAUUCCGGACGGAGGGAGUACACA